UGUCUAAUAGACGGAGUGUUGGAGUAGUUUUUGGUUGUUUUGAAUAGGGCUGUGGUUAGCAUUCUUGCGUGUCUUUUGGUGCAUACACACCCAUUUAUCUUGGGAAUGAAUUAUUGGGUCGGGUCAGAGAAUAGGCAUGUGCUUCGUUUUAGAUCUUUCCAGUGUUCAUUGUGGUUGUAUUAACGUACACUCCUGCACCGUGGUUUAUAGUUUCAGCUGUUUCAGGUCUCUGGCAGCACUUAGCAUUGUGAGUCUUUCAAACUUUUUUCAAAGUUCAUUUUUUUUUUGUAGUAAAAUAUAUAUAACAAAACUUAUCAUCUUAACCAUUUUAAGUGUAGUUAGUGGUGUUAAAAACCUUCCUUCUGUUGUACAGCUGUCACCACUGUCCAUUUCUAGAACUCUCUUUUUACCAAACUGAAAGUGUAACAGUAGCUUCCUGCUUCCUUUUCCCUGUAGCCCCUGGCAGCUGCCAUUCUACCUUCUGCCUCGUUUUUUUUGACUACUCUAAGUAUGUACCUCCUGUACAUGGAAUCAUACAUAUUUGCUCUUUUGUGACUGGCCUAUUUCACUUAGCAUAAUGUCCUCAGUGUUCAUCUGUGUUGCAUACGCUACUUUAUUUUAUUAUUUUAUUUAAAAAGUUUUAUUUUUACAUAAUCUCUACACCCAUUGUGGGGCUCGAACUCAUGACCCCAAGAUCCAGAGUUGCAUGCUCUGCCUACUGAGGCAGCCACGUGCCCCAAGCUCAUUUAUUUUUAACCUACUCAUUUACUUUCCAAUGUAGAUUAGAAAUUUCAUAAUGUAA